ensembl:lncRNA
UGGGACUCCUCCAGAGACACGGAGACCACUGAGGCAGAGCUGGGACUGGUAUCCUACAAGGCAGUUUUCCCUCUCCCUCUCCAGGGUCCACUCCAACCAGCCAGCGGUAGUCUCCCAAAGAGCCGGGUUGAGGAAGAUCCUGAAGUGCAGCAAAGCUCUUGGGGAGAAAGAUGCUCUGCCGUGAACACGAGGGUGCUGGUGGUGGUGUGUCUGCAGCCCUCCUGCUCCCCACCACUCACCUCCACCACUCCACCCCUUACUCCACCACGGUUUUGCCUGCCGGGGAUUAAUGCCUUCACUGAUAGUAAGGAAAAGAAACUUCACGGCGUUGGUGUUUGCAGCCCUUGGCCUACAAUCCUCCCACGUGUGUCUGCAACCUCUCUCCUAUCAGAGUGGAUCUCCAGGUUCUUUGAGGAUCAUCCCUGUAACUUCUAUAGUAGCCACCGCCCCCAGUUCCCUACAAUACCUGCUAUGGGACUGUUGACUAAAGACGCCUCGGUAUGUGACCGGCUGUCACUUCCAACAAAAUCUUUGAAGAUGAUAACAGCUCACCCGAGACGAGGACAGCAGUGUAUAAAGAGGCAGACGCCAGACAAGAGACUUUUUUCUUGUGACAGUUUGAGCUCCCCUGCUGCAAUUAACUUUUUCUCCCCCUCCUUCUCCUCCUUCAUCUCAUGCAAUGCGGUUCAGAAAAAGGGGGCCUGUAUUUUCCUCCUGCUGAUGGAAGUUGAUUAGCAGUCAGGUGGAGUGAUGCUCAGGGGACAACACAGCGGAUUAAUUAAAUCACUUCUACUGGCUAAGUGGUGACACUUUGAUUUAUAGCAGAACUCACUCAACCAGACAGCAGCUUUUCUUGCAUGCCGAAGGAGGAAGGGCCAAAGUGGCCACUGGUUGGAGGCCGAGGGCUUUGCAAACUUUAAAGACAAGCGUCCUAGUCAUUAAAGCAGAGGCCCCUGCUGGGCUCCUCUCUUUGGGGCGGGGAGGCCUGCAGGCUCAGGAGAGGAACCAGAGAGAAGGGAGCAGCUGAGGCUGGCCUGCAAGCUGCUGAGGAGCAAGAAGACCCGUUUCAGAACACACAGAACUCUAUUACACCCCUACAGAAAAAGCAACCUCGAAACGGCAGGAUCAUCUCUAUGUCUGUUGGGUGUUUUGUUUUGUUUUGUUUUGAAGUAAUAUCUAUGCCCAACGUGGGGCUCAAACUCACGACCCCGAGAUCAAGAGUCGCAGGCUCCAUCAACUGAGCCAGCCAGGAGUCCCUCUAGGUCUGUUUUUACUGGACUGCUCGUCGGUAUUGCAUCUUGGCUCACCCGCAGGAAAUAGCCCCGUGAUGGUCCUACCAUAGGGACUCCGGGAUAUCUGUGACUCUUCCAUUGCCGCCUGGAGUCUUCUCAAUGAGGAGCCCUCAGACCAAAAUGCACGCGACAGCUGUGCUUCUGGUGCCAUGUUUUCUGUUAUGAGGUGGCUAUAAUCCUAUUUCGCUCUUUGCUUUGGCUACUAAGAAGGCCAGAGCUGAACAUGCAGCCCAAACUGCAAGCCCUCACACAUGCUCUGUGUAUGAACUCUUUAUGGAUCCAUCUCGCCCAACUUCCCUUUCCCUAGAAAACUCCUGUUUCUCUUAUCUUAAAA